CUCGGGACAAGAGGGCCUGGGACCUCCUGCCCGCCCGGGCCGCGGCGGCCCAGCUCCUCCCGCUGGAACACUGCCCAGCUCCUCCCCUACAGCACUGCCUCUGCUGCCUGGGCGGCUCUUCCCCAGACCUUUUUGGGCUCAGGGUGCCCCGGGUUGCGGGGUCGCCAUCACCCCAGCGCCUACUAAUUGCUUGGCUGUGCACUAAGCACCUUACACUCCCCGUCUCAUUUAAUGGCCCCCAACACCGUGUGCGUAGGUGCCAUUAUGAACCCAUUUUACAGAUGAGGAAACUGAGGCCCCGAGAAGCCCACAGUCUCACAACGAGAAGCAGCAGAAUCGGUAAUCAAACCCAGAUCUCUGCAAAUUUCCUUCCUAGUAACUCGGAGAAGGCCCGCUGGCUGGAUGGCAGCUGUGGACGACCUGCAGUUUGAAGAAUUUGGUGAUGUAGCCGCUUCUCUAGCAGCAAACCCAGAUGCCACCACGGUCAGCAUCGAGGAUCCUGGUGAAACCCCAAAACAUCAGCCAGGACCCCCAAGAGGCUCAGGGAGAGAAGAGGAUGAUGAGUUACUGGGAAACGAUGACUCUGACAAAACUGAGUUACUUGCUGGACAGAAGAAAAGCUCCCCCUUCUGGACAUUUGAAUACUAUCAGACAUUCUUUGAUGUAGACACUUACCAGGUCUUUGACAGAAUCAAAGGGUCCCUUUUGCCAAUACCAGGGAAGAACUUCGUGAGGUUGUACGUCCGCAGCAAUCCGGACCUCUAUGGCCCGUUUUGGAUCUGUGCCACUUUGGUCUUUGCCAUAGCGAUUAGUGGGAACCUUUCCAACUUCUUAAUCCAUCUGGGACAGAAGACAUACCAUUAUGUGCCCGAAUUCCGAAAAGUGUCCAUAGCAGCCACAGUCAUCUACGCCUAUGCCUGGCUGGUUCCUCUCGCACUCUGGGGUUUCCUCAUGUGGAGAAACAGCAAAGUUAUGAACAUCGUUUCCUACUCAUUUUUGGAGAUUGUGUGUGUCUACGGAUAUUCACUCUUCAUUUAUAUCCCCACAGCAAUACUGUGGAUUAUCCCCCAGAAAGCUGUUCGUUGGAUUCUAGUCAUGAUUGCCCUGGGUGUCUCAGGCUCUGUCUUGGCAAUGACGUUUUGGCCAGCUGUUCGUGAGGAUAACCGGCGCGUCGCGUUGGCCACAAUUGUGACAAUUGUGUUGCUGCACAUACUGCUUUCUGUGGGCUGCCUGAUAAUACUGAGGCCCACACAGGGGUAGAUGACUUGUCCAAGUCACAGUGCAGUUACUAGGAGAGCCAGGUGUAGACCCUGGGCCUCUGGCUCAUUCCAUCUGAUGAGGGUUCCUCCAGUAGCCUGGCAGAAAGGCGUUGUUCCUGCAUCCUAGGGGCUUCAUGCCUCAGUGCACCUGCGAGAUAACUGGAGGGGACCCUGUCCCCACUGUAAGUUAGGGACUGUUCUUUCCCUGCCUCAGAAAACAGCUGCUGGAAGGGGCCCUGGAGAGGAAGGCUUUUAAAACUAAUCGAGUUGCUCUGAGAACGUGACCAGCUAGAGGAAGUCUGCAGCUAGAAACUCUCUGAGAGGGCCUGUUGACAAGUUACCAUGGACUGGGAGGAUGUUGGGGUAGCUCUAGCGUGUCAUGUUGGUGCCCCACUCCUGGCUGAUAGAGAGCAGAGCUGGUGAAAUGGUUCUUGACUUUGUGGCUUUUUAUCUUCUUCUUCUUCUUCUUUUUUUUUUUUUUUUUGAGGAGGAUUAGCCCUGAGCUAACAUCUGUUGCCAAUCCUCCUCUUUUUGCUGAGGAAGAUUGGUCGGGGUCUAACAUCUGUGCCCAUCUUCCUCUACUUUAUGUGUAGGACACCUGCCACAGCAUGGCUUGAUAAGCGGUGCAUAGGUCCGCGCCCGGGAUCCGAACCUGCGAACCCCAGGCUGCCAAAGCAGAGCACGUGAACUUAACCGCUGCGCCACAAGGCCAGCGGUUCUUUUUACCUUCCUGAUGCCGUGACUCCAGGGGGAGUCAUGAGUGAGCAGUCAUCUUGACUUAUUAAUGGACUCACCUUUCCUUUGAGCAACCAGCGUUCAAGGCUAGUGAGACUGGUAUUUUCCUGGGUUGAAGUUAGGAUUCUCAGACCUCGAAACAAGCGGGAAGAUCCUCCUUGGUGUUUUCCCUCUUCCACCUCCUUCUGAUUUUUGACAGUUAAAUUGUAGAUGGUGAGAGGAAGCACUUAUCAAACCUUUCAUUUCCAAGGUGAAGAAUUAUGAGAUAAGGCCUGCCCAGCACUUUCUCUUACAGGUCUUUACAGGGGGCCAGCUGGUUCAGCAGCACUCUGUCUUGAUUGUGUUCAGUAAGUCCUGAUUGUUUACGUGGUGUGCCAGGCCCUGUGCAAGCGCUGUGACAUGGAGACGAGGAGGAUGCGCUCUUUGGGGAGAGUCCGUCGAGUGUGAUGAUCAGGAGCUUGAGCUGUGGAGUCAGCAAGACCUGGCUCUGCGUCCUGCUCCACCACCCGUUAGCCAUGUGACCUGGUCUAACGACAGCCUCUCUGAGCCUCAGUGUCUUCAUCUGUCAAAUGAGGAUAAUAGUAAUGACCUCACAGGGUUGUUAUGAAGAGUAAGUCAUAUGUAGCCUACUUUUUUGAUGCACCAGAGAUGGACCAUCUCCCAACAACCACAGUUGCUCCAAACCAAACAGCCAAGUCCAGCUAAAAAGGAAA